GGGCAAUUGGGCAAUUGGGCAUUUUCUCUGCAAACCUGAAGCUGCAAGUGCUCAGUCCAAGUUGGGCAAGUUGGUGUUUGUAACUUCUUUCUAUGAAAGUCUGAUAUGGGUUCUCUCCUAAACUUCUAUUAGAACGGUGGGAAACAUUGCUCCCGUGAGAACGGUAUAGUGGACUUCAUCGCCACUGACCCACAGUUAUUAGGGUGUGACACGAACUUGUGGACAGAGUACCGAGCUGCUGCUUUGCCAGGUGGAUUUCUGGUUGCGGGCAAAGGACCGGACACAUCAGUGUGUUUUAAUUUGUUUUAAACUGGUGUAAGUCGACGGCCCGACUGCUGCAGCUGUCGAUUGUUUUGUUUUUUUGUUUUAUUUUUUCUAUAUCAGUAGGCACCACAAAUGUUGAUUCUUUUAGUAUUUUAACCCUUUUUUAAAAUAUAUAUAUAUAUAAGAUAAGAUGGCCUUUAUUAGUCCCACAGGUGGGAAAUUUGUUUUGUUACAGCAAA